ACUACGGGAGGCAGCAGUGGGGGAUAUUGCACAAUGGGGGGAACCCUGAUGCAGCGACGCCGCGUGGGUGAAGAAGCGCCUCGGCGCGUAAAGCCCUGUCAGCAGGGAAGAAAAUGACGGUACCUGAAGAAGAAGCCCCGGCUAACUACGUGCCAGCCGCCGCGGUAAUACGUAGGGGGCAAGCGUUAUCCGGAUUUACUGGGUGUAAAGGGGGCGCAGACGGCGAUGCAAGCCAGGAGUGAAAGCCCGGGGCCCAACCCCGGGACUGCUCUUGGAACUGCGUGGCUGGAGUGCAGGAGGGGCAGGCGGAAUUCCUGGUGUAGCGGUGAAAUGCGUAGAUAUCAGGAGGAACACCGGUGGCGAAGGCGGCCUGCUGGACUGCAACUGACGUUGAGGCCCGAAAGCGUGGGGAGCAAACAGGAUUAGAUACCCUUGUAGUC
rnacentral:rRNA from 1 species